AAAUUAUAAACAAUUUUCCUUGGAUAAAUAAAUAAACAGGUGUCCAUAAAAUUGUUAUGCAACAAAGAAAUGCAAAUUGUUGAUUUAAGUUUGCUGUUUUGAAAUUGCAAGAAAUUUUUACAAAGCAGUGAAAAGUUUCCGUCGGACAACUGAAAAAUUACUCAUUUUUAAAAAUAAUUGUUUGUAUUGAUAGAAUCUGUUUCUUUUUUAAAAAUAUUUAUUUCGAACUGAAUAACGUAACUGUUAUGAACAUUUUAUAUUUGAUUAAAAAUUAGUCACCGCGAGAAAGACAUACGCUUCUAAUCAUUGUAAUUCGAGAAAAAUUUGAACAAAAUGACGUGCUUGUUCCUGGAACAUUUUUUUACAUUUCUAUCCUCGUUAAGGUGAAUGUCCGCUCGUGUUUCAUGAAGCUCAUAUUAAUCCAUUAAUGAAUUCCAAAUUUUUCAUUCGCAUAGUUCAUUUACCUUUAAUCCCAGUUUUAAUCAACAUAAAAAUUGCACUUGCAAAAUUCCGGCACAUUACACAUUCAAAUAUUCGAAAUUUCGGAUGAAAAGGGACAAGAUUUAAUCCUCGAAUGGUUGUACUGGGUCAAUGGUGACCCAGACCUAUAAAAGAUACCCAAACGUGUUUCAACAAAAAUUGCUCAUUCGAUUCUUUAAAUCAAAGAUUUUCAUAUAUUUGAAAAAUAAUAUCCGAAGGCAGUAUUGGAUUGAGGGGAAUUAAUUUCUCGGUUUUAUUUCUGAAUGUAAAGAAAUAACAGGAAGUUUGGUAAUGUUAAAUUAGCAGCACUCAGUCAAGUGACGAUUUCGUUUCUAUCUUUUAUUCAAUCACCUUUUAUUCGAUCUCUUUAAUUAUGCACUUCCGUACACCUUUUUUCCCAUAACAGUAAUUUAUUUUUUUCAUUGUUUCUUGCUAUUUCAAAGGAAAAUACUGCAUCCUGAUUUAAUCCUAGAUAUAUUUUCAAAGGAAAUAAGCAAAUCUCAAAGACGUUGCACGCCCAAACAUUAAUUAAUCGCACAGUUGCCUAGGUUGACAGAUUUUUGCUUAUUAACUAUCCACCAGCCAGCUUGGGCAUUGAAUUUCAUUUAUUUUUUAUACAGCGUCGCCUGUCAAUGGCUUCCUCUUCCAAUUUUUCUACCGUUUGAUUAAUUUACGUGGCCCCGCACGCACGAAUCACUGUCUAUCUCGAUCAACCAUUCGAAAAUUCGGCAAAAAUUUAUUUCGAGUACACCGAGAAGAACAUUCGCCCCCGUUUACUUUUGUUUCACGAAACGCACCACUGACGGAGAUGUACCAUUUUCACGCGGAGACUUUAUUUUAAUCCUUAAUGAAGAUCUACCUUAAGAGGGCAGAUUUUCUUUUCUCCUUCAAGUGUUUCUUUGUAAUUUAAAGCCUUUUAUACCUUCUGCGGCAAGGUGCUUUGGCGAAUUUCGUCUCCCUUUCUGUCGUUAAACGCAUAAUUAAGCAAUCCAAAAGGAACAAUUAAGAUACUAUGAGUUGAACGUCCAAAAUUUUUACUACGUAGCUUUGAAGAAUUCUAUAGUGUAUAAAAUAAUGGCAAUAAUUUAAUUAUGUAAAUUACUAUGGUUCUUAAUUUUGCUACGUUUGGAUCUUUCGUUUUUCUCAGGGAAAUAUUUACAGAAAUUUUCAAUGAAAUUCUGCAUAGGAAAAUACUAUAAAUUUUAAUAAAAAUCAUUAGAUAAUUAGUGAAACUUUUGUACUAAAUUUUCAAAGUUCUGCCCCUUUCUUUUAUUAUUUUCUUAUUUUAAAUAUGCUUCAUGUACAUUAAAAAUAUUAGCUACUCAGUCACGCAGUUUUUAAUUAUUUCAAAGCAACAAGUACAGAGCAAUAACCUUUAUUUAAAUUCCCUGCGUUAAAUGAAAUUCCUUUUCUGUUUAACGCGUUCGCUACCGAGCCUCAUAGAUCAUGCAUAGAAACCAUGCAUCCAUAGAUUCCUUGCGUUUUUCUGCAAAUAAAAUCAAAAGCAAAAUAAUUAGAUACUAAUUCUUUGAGUCCCACAAAUCUUAACCCAAUCCAUAAGAGAACUCAUUAGCAGCUUGAUUGGUAUCUAUUUUGAUUAAUACAUUUUCCAAAUUUUAUUGGAGAUAUGUAAAAGCUUCCAUCAGCUAUUUCCAGACUUUUGACAAAGUGCCAAAUGUAUUCAGUUUUUUUUAUUAAAAUAGUGACAAAAAGUAAUAUAUUCUGACUGACAAAAUUGCACCAUCUGCGAAAUAUUAAUAAAGAAAAUUUUCAUAAAAGCAAUGGAAGCUUUUGAAUACUUUUCAUAAUAAAUAAUUCCAUAGAAGAAAAAAUAUGUAAAGGUCAGAAAUUUAAUUGCAAACCUAAUAUAAUGUAAAUGAGUUUCCAUACAGUGUUUAUGAAAAAUAUGAGAUCUGAUUAUUAUUUAAUUGCUGUCCAUCCUCAGAUCACUUCUUUAUUAAGACUCUAACUAAAUUACACUUCAAUUUUCAUAGCUAUUCAUAAAUAAAGAGGGACAAAUAUUUCCAUAAUUUUAUGUAAUAUUUUGACUAAUUAAGAGUAUGUAAAAAUGUCUUUUGGCCAUGUAUAAAUAGUAGUAUCAAAUAUUUUGUUAUUAUGUUAACAUUUGUCAAUUUGUGUAAUGAUGACACGCCACUAGUUGUAUCUAUUGACAUAAUUGCAGUUUCAAUUACCCAGUACAAAAUGAUUAGUGAAAUGGCAAUAAACAUUUACAAAACUUAUAUAAUGAUAACAAUGAUUGCCCAUAAGUUUCACAAAUGAUUGUACAACAAUAAUAAUUAUUUUUAACUCAGCCCCAAUUAUGUAGAUAUUUAUGCACUUAUAGCAUACCAGAGCGUGCAAAAAAUAUGCAAAUUAUACAGUACACAUAAACAAAGCAAAACAAAUUAGGUAAAUAUGAAGAAUACACAAAAUGUGAGAAUUAAAACAGUAAUUUAAACACCCUAAAGAAAAAAAUAUUUUUAAAAAGUAUGGUAGUAUUAUAUAUUUGCACAAAAAUUCAACAAGACAGUAUAAAAGAAGAUUUUUUCUAUCGGCUCAGAAAUGAUAAAAUAUUUUUCUCAAAAAACCACUGUUAUUUAUAAAAUCUGAAUAAUAAAAAUUGCCAUAAAAUAAUGGAAGCUUUUACAUACCCCUAGUAAAUAAAUGUCGCGAAUUCGGUUUGCCAAGGUAACAGUUCUAACGAAAUAAAACUCGACAAGCAUACAAGUUAAGUCACUUAUUUUCGUAUAAAUUUCUUGCCUCUGAACAUACAUUGGCCGGAUCGGCUCGCCUGUAAAGUUGUAUUAAUCGACGUGAUGUAUCGGCCGCGUGCAUCGAAUAGAUACGAAUGGCUUGUUUCCGCCAAUCGUUCUGGGCCGGUAAAAAGCAGCUCCCUGUAUUUGUUUCCCCAGCGUGCCCCCAGUAAUUUAUACAUCUAAACAACCAUAAGCAACUCGUGUAACGACCAGCCACACAACUAUAAUUCUCGCUUCAACGACGAUAUAGUGGACGUAUAAAUGCAUUCAGAAAAACGAUAUCGAACAAUUUUUUAUUUAUUUAUUUUUUUUUUUUUUCGACAUACUUUCUCCUCGUUCAUCCAACCAGUGAAAGUGUUUCAAUUGAAAAGAAGAAGAUGAAAAAAAAUAACAACGCGACUGUUCGUAACAAAAAUAGGAAAAAAUGGGCUCCACGUUUUUUUCGUUCGAUAUUGAAUCGGACGUACAGUGGGUCACAUAAGUAUUCGCAUUCCAUCAAUCAAUAAUUUAAAGCGCAGAAUAUUUUUUGAGAAAUAAUUGUUGAAUUCAUUUUUAUAUUCCCCUUGGGUCUAUACGACCCCGAAUAAAAAUAAAAUUUUCAGAAGUACUAUACUUCGAAACAUGUUUGUCUAGAAAUUUUGUUCGAAAAAACUAAUAAACUUUUUUAAACAAACGUUCUUGUAUUUAAAAGAGUAUUUUUCUGUCUAAGAUAAAAUAAUUUUUGUAUUUAAAAAUAAUUAUAAUUUUGGAAGUCAAUAUUAGUUUGGGUGUUUAGAGACAGAUUGUCUAAAAUGAAAAAUUUGAGAAAAUUUAAUUUAUAUAUUAUAAUAGGAGUAGUUUUGUGACUUUUUGACACGUUUCCUCGUCCAUAGUUUCCUUAUUUCGCUUUCGAUUUCUGGAGAACGCCAGUGUGCAACCACAGGCUUGCAUAUUCAUGUACACUUCUGUAUAUAGAUUAACUACAUAACAGCUACCGUUGCAGAGUAUGUACAGAUCGUUUGAUAGCCAGCGAGAGUGAAACCGGAAAUGGAUCGAUCGACGGCACAUUGUCACCUCGGAGAGACGUUCACCGGAACCAAUCAAUAAUCAAUUCACAUAUUCCUUUAACGUUAUCCUCUUCUUCUUUUGCUUACUUUCUGACACGUGUUACCGUUCUUCUUCUUUUCAUAAAAAAGCUGUUCGUAGCUUUUAUAUAAGAUAAAAUUAAUUUUGUUUGAUAUAAGCAUAUCAGCAGUAUUUCUUCAUCGAACUGGUAAACAGAAAUUAAUUUCACGAGUCAAAUUAUCCAGAUACAGUAUUGAAAUUUCUUCAUCUAAUAAGACAUUGAAAAACUGAAUUACCUUUAAUGAUUCAUCAGAGCAAUUAAAAAGCUCCUUAGUUAAGAGAUGACAGUGAAACGUGAUUAUCGAUUCGAAUUCACGUAAAAUAAUGCUGCUGGCGGAAAUGUUAAUGAACAUAUUACCGAUAAAGUAUUCGGUGCGUUAAGCUAUGUUGAAUUAUCAUCGAAUAGCGACUAAUAUUUCUUUGAAAAUAACUAAUUGCUCUCGAAUAUGAACCCAAGCUAUGUCUACAUAGGUAUUUAAACGACUCCCUCUGUUUAAUUUCCUUGCGACAUGUUACAUGAACAUUGAAAUUAUUACUCGUUGACAAUUACAACAAAAAAGUCAUCACCUUUUAUCAAAUACACUUAACAUUCUGAUCGUCCACUCUCGAACAGUGACAAUUGAAAUUUUCAAAAACUUCAUUUUUCUUUUAUCAGCACGGUUUAAUACAGGAAUAUAAAAAUUGAUCUGUGUUAAAUGGUUAAAGGAGAUGUUUUCACACAUUUCGAAUAAUCCGAUUCGGAUCGAAGACAGAAGGUUGACAAUUGAUUCCGGUGAAAUGAAAAGAGAGAAAGUAUCGGUAAAUAUUGAGCAGAGCGGGAUAGCAGGAAUGGCAUAGGAAUUAAUGUAACGCGAAAAGAACGAACAAUUGGAGGCAAACGGGAAAUGGUACCGACACGAUACCAUCGGUAUUGGAAUGCAAAUUAUUAACGCUCGUAUUUCGAGAAGUUGGUUUACGAACUUUUCCGCGGUAUUUCGUUUUAUCCAAUCAAUUUACCUCCAGGAGGCUUAAUGAAAUUUCGCCCCGUAUCGAACAGUCAGCCCACGUGUUUGCGAUCCUCUUCUCGAUUUUCGACCUACUGCUACCUGUACUCGCCGACGUGUUAUUCCAUACAAAUUUUGAGUAAAGUGAUUACUUUUCACCAUAUUUCUUUCCGAACGUCACACGAAAGUUACAUCGAUUCUGUUAACCGUGAAAGAAUUUUCGAAUCGAAUCUUUUAUGUUCUUCCACCUUACUAUUACAUAAAGGAAUGUAUUUAGGUAUUGUUUUGAUUUUGCUGCAACUUCUGAAAUUUUUAUUAAGUAAUUUUUUAAAAUCAAAUAUUCAGAAUUCUAUUUUGACACCCCUUCCAAACGUAAUAUCUUAAACGAUCACCAAACAAGUAUCUGGUGUCAGAAAACAAAGCGAGCGUACUUCCUGAAAAUCCAAAAUCGUUCGUCGUCCAUAGAGGUUCAUAAUUGAAACGUCCGAAGUAUUAACAAAGGCUCCCGAAAAUUAAUCAGCGAUUCCCUUCAGCGGAGGCUUGCUUCUAUUGGUCGAGACCACGGUAGAAAGAGGCGGUAAUCAAGAAAGGGGUCCCUAGAAGGGCGGCAAAACAUUCUCUACCUGGUCGAUCGCGUUUCGUCAUCAUCAAAGUACAAUUCGUGGGCCAUCACCGACAGAACUCGGUCCGGCUGGCUAGAAAGGGGAUUCCAUCAAGCGACCGCGGAAGGAGCCAUUUUUGUCCUGAUGAACUUUACAGACCGAAGGACAGGGUUACGGAAGGGGAGAUUAGGCGGCGAGGGUGGUAGGAAAGGGGGAAACGGAAAGGGUCGAGAAGCGGAGGCGGAGACAGCCGAGUCAGAGACCGGUAGCGCGUGCUUGGGAAAUUAAUUAAAAAUUAUCCGCGAAACAAAAUUCGCCGACAAAGAAGAGUUCGAAAACGAGGUUUUCCACGAUCGGCGGCGGUUCCUUCGCGAUCCCCGUGAUCGUAACUUUCGCCGUUGUCCAUUGCCCGGAACGAUGGAUUCUGUCGUUGGCCGAUGCCCGGGAGUAGUGGCUACCAUUCGCGCGAUACCGCCGGUAUAAUAUUUCAAAGUGCCUAAAACCGAAACGGCCGGGAAAAUGGAGGGCAGCCAUCUUCGGCGUGGCUCGCAGGAACGCGGAGCACCCCGUGGUGCCGCCACCCUAUCAGCGAGGCCGUACAACGCGGAGAAACACGAGGACAAGAGGGUUGCCGAGGGUUGGCCUGAGGUUGAGGGAUCGUUUAGCAUUCGUCGUCGUUUUCGUUUCUCCGGGCAAAUGGGGGGUUGCGCGAACGUAGGAGAAAGACAGGGGGAGAAAAGAGAGACAAGCCGAUAGGGUGGACGAUGAUGUUCCUCGCCCUCGAAUUCUUUCUCCCUCCGCGACACCCUCAGCUGCUCCGCGCCGAUCCCUUUCGUUUCGCCGUCCUCCUCGCACCCGGGGUUCGACGUUUUUUCGUUGUUUCACUUGGAAAAAGCAAGUCUCCGCAAACAAAGGGCGAGGCUGUACAGAGGCUGGCCUGGAUAAGCGGCCGAUCGUGCGAUUAUAACGGCAGGGAUAAUGCUUAUUAUGCGCCACAGCACGGCCUCCAUCGUCGUUCCAGCCCUCAUGGGAACGAAUCCUCGCCGGAGAACAACGCGAUACGCCCCGCGACCGGUCUCCUCAAGGAUUAACCGGCUACCACGAUUUCCCUUUAGCUGGUCUUUUGGGGUUUUUCUGUCGCCCGUUUCUAUUUUACGCUAAUGGCUCGUUUCUCUUUUUUUCCCCCCCGCUCGUCUCGAAACGAAGGAACGAGGAUCAGAGAGGAUACUCUGAACCCACGAGCGGGCAACGCUUCGUGCCGUACCAACAUUUUUGAGCCACUACCCCCAUUUCGAUUCGAUUUCCUUUCCCUUCCGUAUGGACAAAGAGAUAUGAAUCUUUGAAAAGCGUCAUUUUGUUUUAGCUUCAGUUUUUGAAGAUUAAGAUUUCGUAGUGAACAUUUCAGAGAUUAAAUCUUCUGUACCUUCUGUUUAACCCUUGCCUGUGUAGACAGAUAUAUUAUAGAAAUCAUUGGUACCUAAAUGACGGGUUUAAACUUAAGACUUUUAGCUUCAACCUCCUUCCAAAUGUGUCAGCCACUAAGACAAAAUAUUUUAUUUAACCCUUGCCUUCAAACAUCGAAUCACCCAUUUAAAUCAGAAUAAAUAUUAUCAGGCAGUUGAUAACUAAUCCUGAUGCAAUGGAAAAAUAAUUAAGUCACAAGGACGAAUUAGCGGUACCUAAUUGAUAACUCGAAAUGUUCAAACCCUUUUAAGUAAAUUCAAAGGGUAGUUCGACAAAUAUACCUCGCGUUUUCCCACAGCUUCCUCUACUUGUUUUUCUCUGUUGAAAAAAAGUUCAACAACGAAAGAGAAUUGGAGAACGGUAUUCACGCGAGUUCUUCUUUUUUCUCUUUUGAAAUAACUCGGAACUUCCGCUUUUCUUGCAAGCCAGCUCUCAUUACAACCUUCAUCUUACUUUUAAGUAAUGUUUGCAUUAACACCUCUAGAAUCGUUCAACAUAUUUUCUUUCUUAAUACGAGGUAGAAAGAAUCUCACAUUCGCUCGCGGGCAACCGCUCGUUUAAAACACGGUUAAGAAAAUCUCGUUUCCGGCUUAAGGUUUCCACCGGCAAAUAUAACGUUUCACUUGGAGUGAAAGCGAGAGUGAAGGAAAGGAGUAUAAUCAAGGUAAAUAUCGGCUAUGUUUUCUUCUCUCGAGGUCGGCCAGUACGGCACCAGUCUAAGCCGAGUACAGACGUUAAAAAUGAGUUUCGCGAAUCUCUCGCGAAAACCCAGCCAGUUUCGACCCGUUUACACGCAUCGGUACACCGGGACGAAUAUUCCAUUCAGUCCGAGAUUCGUCUAUCGAAAAUGAUCACAAAUUGCAAUUCUCCGCCAAACGAAAUAUACCUGGAGGCGAAGAACUAUCGAUAAAGUAUCGAUUUUUAUCGAUAACUUUCACUAUCAAAUAUAUCGGUGUUUCGAGAAAAGUUUAACUCAUAAAUGUUAUAGAAUUUCGAUUAUCGGAAUUAUCGAUUGAUGUCAAUAGUCCUUCACUUCCGAUAGGGCGCAAAUAAGGUGAUUCGCGGGGGGUUCGUGGAUCCGGUGUGUACGCGGCUUAAGUCUCCGAAGUCGUACAAGGCCAAACGCAGAGAGGGUUGACUCGAGUAAAAAAGCUGUUGGAUUGAAUCCUUGGCCGGCAUUGUUCCGAAUAAUUGGACUAUUAACGAGAAAUUCCGUGGCUGUUUUUUUAUUUUUUCAAGAUCGACACCGACUAACUGACGCGGCCGUUUCGUAAACACGCAUCCGCUCGUUCCUCCUCAGAGGAAUCCAGUAUCUACGAACAAAGAACCGAUGUUCGUGACAACCCUGGCUCAGAUAACCAACCGAUCGUAUGAUUACAAUAAUGUGUAUUAUGCACCGAUGCAGUAUGAACGGUUCCGGUACUUCCGGUAAUGAAUACUCCCCCGAGAACAAUAAGCUGUUCUUCGAGUAUAAACCGAUUAUUCUUCCCCUUCCACCCUUCUUCUUCUACGUUUUUCCUUUCUUUUAUUAUUCGACCAUCGAUUAUCACUGACUGGGAUGGUUUUGCACUCGUCACCUUCAAAACAGCUGGAGGGUAAUCGUGGAGCGAUACGAAUUCGGGUGAUCGAAGGAUUCUUUCGAAGCACAAAAAUGAACGAAACCCAUGUUUUUAUUAUCAAUAGUGAAGUAGAUUAAAUUUCAUAACGUGGAUGAAUUUCAGUAUGUUUAAACAUAAUCGUGGUACGCUUUGAUUGUUUAGAUAUUAUUAGAUCUAUGACAAAUUAAAAAUAAGUAAAAUUGGGGAUCUCUUCAUGGUCCGCCGUUCGAGAAUUAAACAGCAGUUAAUGAAUAAUCAUUAUUUUCCUCUAUAAUUUGUAAUAUUUAUUCAUUUUCGAAUGGAAAAGAAUUGCCAAAUAUUUAAUUUGAAAAAAAUUAAUGAAAUAUCGUUGUUCGCGUAACCACCUGAUGAAACUAAACUAAGAAUUACCGAAUUUUUGGGUCAGCUUUGAUCGUUGUCUCUGAAUUAACGCGAACACUUUGCGAUGCAUUGUUACGUGCAAGCUCCACGCCAUAUGAUUGGAGAACUCUGGUUACGAACAAUGGCUCGGAUUAACUGAACCCGUUACAUACGUGACACGUGUUCGACACACACGUGUCCGAUCGAUCGGAAAACUUUUUUGGAUCCUUUUGCAGUCAGACGUUUUGUGUCCCCGAAUUCCCGGUAUACUGACCGAAAUUAAACGCGAGGGAAAAAAAGGACAAGGAGAACGUCACGUUUCAUUUAUCACUCGAAACCUCCCACACUAUUGCGUGAAUGGAAAAACAAUUUACUUCAGAAAAUUAACCCUCGUCGUACGAUGUCUGGAUUUAUUUGGGUACAAAAAUAACUACGUAUAAAUGAGGGUUAAAAUUUUCUUUACUAGCCUAAGUACCCAUCGACAAAAUUCAUAUAAAAAACAAAACGAAUAGUUAUUCAUUUAACGCAUAAAAGCCAUUAUUUUUUUCUUUCCAAUUAGACAAACGAGAAAUAACAACUAACAAAACAUUAAUUGGAGGAAAAACGAAAGGCGCGAGAAGCAGCAUCGAUUACUUUUGACGAUCACCUUUUUUUUUCGUUAUUCCCCCGUCAACGAGGAUCUGUUCGACGAAUAAUUUCCUUUCGCGAGCCGAUGCUAUUUUCGAAUUAGCUUGAACUAACCGCAGCCUUUGGCAUUUAUUCGAUCUGUACGAUCAGAGUAUCGCAGUUACAAGUAACAAUCCGAUUUUAUUUGUUCCCUUGCACACACGUUUAACAAACGUCUAUCAACGAUCUGAAACAGCUGAAAAUUCAUUGGCAAUAUUCGAACCCUCGACUGAUACAGAUAACCGGAUAGUAAUUAAGGAGACGUAAUUAAAGUCAUCUAAUACAUAAUUUUUUCCAAAAUAUAUGCAUUAAAGGUUGAAUAAUCAUAAACGCUAAUUUUCUGCAUUCCAAAAGGGCAUGCAUUUCAUUUCUGGAUUGAUCCAUAAUUAAUUAACUGACAACGAAUAAUUAACGAAGAAAAUUAAUAGUCUUUUUUAGCCGUUGCUAUGAAUUCUUUAAAAUAAUGUUGACGGCUAAACGAAUCAGAGGAUGCAGUAUUUGUACCGUGUCGACGGUGGCUGUUGCAUUUUAAUGUAUCCGAGAAAUACACCAUCCCGAUGCAUAAGACAAACCCUCCCGUAAGGAGAACUAUGAAUUCACCUAAACAGAAACCAUAAAUAAUCCUCAGAGAAAAGCUUCGUCUCGCAGUGAAUCUGCGAAUCACCGAAAAGUCAUGAAUAAUUAUAAUCCCUUUCACCAGCUUUCAAAAACAUGGAUAUUUUCCUGUUCCAUGGAAAAUUCUAGGAUAAACUUUCGUAAAAUUUUCCUCGUUACAAAUAGCGAUAUGAUAUAAAAAUUUUCAAAUUUUUCUGUUAUUUAAGCUUCCCUUUAUUCUUAAAUUAAUUUCUUUGAAUACCAAUGCAUGCUGAUCAUUUCCUCGAUUUGUUAAGCAAUCAAAAAUAUAUUAUUCAAUAAAAACCCAAGGAAAAAUCGAGGAACUUUAAUAUAGGAGGAGAUUAUUAAUAUAGAAACUAAUGACAGUAAAAAAAGACAAUUAUUUUUAAUUGGUUUCAUUAAAAUAGGAGCUUUUCCAAUAUUUACUGAGCAAAAAAUAAAUAUGAUCAAUAAAAAGGCUGCAGUUGCAUUCGAAAUUUAUAAGUAGAAAAUUAACUUAACAAUUUCUUUUAUAAUUAUUUUUCCCGCUUUCAAUUUUGGGGCAUAAAAAUGGAGAAAUGAAAACGAAGACUUGAUGUUUCAAAAAACGCUCACAUUUAUAAAAGCUCCUCGAUUGCAACGACCCAUUGCAUUUUUUCGUGGCCACGUGCAUCGGACUGGGUGGCAAAGUUCGAAACCGGUAACCGAAUAGAAAUCGAUUGAAUCAAUGAACGAGGAGGGCCAAAGUGGUUCAGGUCGACGCACGUGUGACGAUAUUAAUGUACCGACCGAUCAAUGGCCUAAUGAAGAUGUAUUCAGUUCCUGGCAAUUUCUAAACCUGCGAGAACCCUAGGGCCUUGAAUUUCGCGAGCUCAGCUGAUCGAUCGGUCAAUGGAUCGAACGGGUCGAUCAAUUUUCUCGGAAUAAACGGCACGCGACCCCUUUCAGAUCGCGUGUAUUAAUCUACCGAUAAAAUAUCACGGUUCUCUUUUUUUUUAUUUUUCCUUCUACCUUUUUUCGCGUGUUUGUGUUUUUUUUCAGUAUCCUGCCCACGAGUUCGUGAAAUUCAAUUGCAACGCUUUGGAAAUCAAAAAGUUACGCGAAAGUGAAAUAUCGACGAUUUUGUAAGGAAAAAAAUUGUAACUGUUUGCAAAAUUAUACAAUGUUUCAUUAUCCAAUAAUUUGAAGGAUUUUGUUUGAAAAAUAUUUUCAUUCUUUAAUCAGAUCUCUGAAGAAAUAUUAAAUUAUUAUUAAUAAAAUAAAAAAACGUGUACAUUCUGAAAUAUUUUGUCAGAAAACUAAGUUGCUGUUCAGAAUUCUAUAACUGGAAAAUUAUUCAUUUUCCUUGACUUUCAAUGCCAACAUAUUUUAUUAACAGCAUCAGGUUAUUAUAAUUUGGGAGGAAAUAAAUCUCUUGAUUGAAUUUCUCGAAACAUCUCCAAAAGAAUAAGAGAAGUCCUGUUCGUCAAUGGCGGCGGUCCGACGGGGAAUCAUUAAACAACACUCUAAUAGUCUGAAUUUACACGAAAUAACGUUUUGAAUAUUUUAUAAAAUAAUAAAUAGUUAAAAAUGCUAUCUAAAAAUUACGAAGAAAAUUCAAAUAAAUCCAGUAUUUAUUUUUUGGUGAUUGUUUUGGAGAGGCAUUCAAACAUUACUUCCAUGCUUAUUAACAUUUCAUUACACGUUAUAAACUCGACGAGCUUCUGGAAAUCAUUUUUUCAAUUACAAUCUUCCCCGUUACAUCGAGUAAUGUAUUUGUUAAUGACAGUAAUCGGGUAACGAACGCGUGCAUUGCGCAAACACAAAUCGUUUACAAAUUACAGAACCGAAAUACACCUAUUGUCCUUCUACACCAUGACAGCGAUUUAGACCAACAAAUGUUGAAUGAAUUUCUAUUGAAAAUCUCUCUUUACAAAUUCAAUAAUUCCAGGCAGGAUCAAAUCCAAACAUCGUAUACAAUUUUUAGAAUACUGUUUUCGAGUCAUUUCAGAAACGAUCUAACAAUAAAAUAAAAAUAAAAUAAAGAAAGUAGGCUAUAAAAAGUGGAAAAUGCAUCGAAAUUGGAGGAAAUUAUCUCGUUAGACGACCCGGGUUGCCUUUGAUCGAAAAGAUAAUUACGGUAAAAAAUCCUAAAUAAUAACGGAUUUAAGGGUAAUCAAGAAAAGAAAGAAGGAGAGGGUGGUUAUCAGGGGGAUGAGAGUAUAAUUCAGAGUCGACAAGUCGUUGUUAUCAAUAACAUUUUUGCAGAGGCCGUAAUAUCCCGGGAAAGUAAUUAGAGUAAAUUCAGGGGUUGCCGAGCGACCCUUCCAGCCGCACAAAAUGGCGGCGGGAACCGCCCUUGCGAAAAAAAUUAGGCCUCCUUCCGCUGCGCGGUAAAAUUUACAUGAAAAAAAGGAACGCCCAGCGGCUUUCGGAAAACGAAGCUUCGACAAUGCGACUCAUUCUUUUUUCUUUUUACGCCUUUUUUUUUUAUUUUUUUUAUUUUUUAUGGGUAAAUCGAAGGGAGUCCACGUGGCGGGGUUGGCUGCCAGGGAAAUACCUGUAAUUUAUGUGUAGGAAAUGGAAAAAAUAUGGUAAAAGGUCACGUUCGCUGGUAGACUUUAAAAACGAUUAGAAUCUUAAUAUCCGUCGUAAAAUAUGGACCCGGGCAUUAUCAAACGAAUAAACAUGGAAAUAGACAAAAUGGAAUCAUUUGUUAACCCUCUGUAUACCUGAGAAUAUCGAAGUACUUCCUGAUCUAGAGUGAGAACAUUGAAUACGAUCGUGUCUACUAUUCAUGAUGCGGUCUAUUUAAACAAAACAGUUGUUCAUUUAGGAUUCUAAAGCUCUAAAGGACUCUAAACAAUUUUUAUACAUUAUAUACAUAUUAAAAUCAAAGAAAUAUUUAGGAGACAGUAAUUAAUUCAUAAAGGUACCAUGCAGAAGCUUUAAACCAAGAAGAGAAAUACGCUAGACUGGAAAAAUUGUUGCAUCCAUCACAAACUGGAGACAAAAAAAUCCUAAUCACCAUAAAUUACAAUCGAUACUUUGCGGAUAGGAAGCCGAAGACGGGG